rnacentral:lncRNA from 1 species
CUUUACACAGCGUAUAAGGGUGAUGUCACAGCACAAUGGGAAUCUAACAGGGGAAGAGGUGAAAGUAAUCCUCCUCCUCCCACGACCACGCCGGCAAGGACAGGACGCUUUACAGACGUGUUGUUGAUGGAGGACAUGCAGAGCUUUUUAAGUCCUACGCAUCGCCACAGCCCUUCGGGAUCCACCCUCAGAGAACGACUCGACCGACAGGUAGCAGACUACCUCGCCUUAACUGCAGAUAUCAACACUCUGAGGAGCGA